rnacentral:rRNA from 1 species
UCGCGCUAUCAGAUGAGCCUGCGUUGGAUUAGCUAGUUGGURGGGUAAAGGCCUACCAAGGCGACGAUCUAUAGCUGGUCUGAGAGGACGAUCAGCCACACUGGGACUGAGACACGGCCCAGACUCCUACGGGAGGCAGCAGUGGGGAAUAUUGGACAAUGGGCGCAAGCCUGAUCCAGCAAUACCGCGUGUGUGAAGAAGGCCUUCGGGUUGUAAAGCACUUUCAAUUGGGAGGAAAACCUACCGGUCAAUACCCGGUAGCUUGACAUUACCUUUAGAAGAAGCACCGGCUAACUCC